rnacentral:misc_RNA from 1 species
CAGCUGCGUGAAUUAAUGUGAAUUGCAGGACACAUUGAACAUCGAUAUCUUGAACGCAUAUUGCGGCCUCGGGUAAUCCCGAGGCCACGCCUGUCUCAGGGUCGGUUGAACGUCAAUCGCGAAGCUGCUCUCUAUAUGGCUCGCGCAUUGGGCGUCGCAGUAGUCGGUCUCGCGAUCGCAACUGCGUCGCCUCAAGUGCAGACGGGUUGCUCGGUCGACUCGACCGGGACGGUGACUCGACUCUCGUGAGCGCACCAUCUCCCGUGCGACGGCGAACGGCAAACCUAACACUCAACUCUUGACUUCGACCUGAGAUCAGACGAGAUUACCCGCUGAAUUUAA